UUCAAGAUAGAUGUUUGAAAUGAUGAAUAGGCCUCUUUUGAACAUGAAUGAAGUGUCUCAACUCAUUUCCCCACCUCAUAGCCCUCAGUUGACUGCACAGUUGACUUUCAUGGUCCUCAGAUGACCUGGAAAUGCACUGAUGAAUUUGGGCCUCUACCACUUGGUAAAAUUGUUUCAAAAUGAAACCCUAGCUCAUAUAAGCUCUUUAGAAU
rnacentral:lncRNA from 1 species